UGAGUCUGUCCCCGACUUUAUGUGGGAGCAGACCGGGGAGGACAUGUCUCCAUCGUUGUCACCCCGGGCGCAGAGGGAGGCGAGAUGAWCUACGAGCAAAUGUUGGAGGCCAGCGUGAUUGGACCGAAGAGGGGUUCGAUUAUAGCAGAAGCCGAGGUUUCGACCACGUCACUCAAAGAGACACCUGUAUGUGAGGAAAAUGAAGGAGAGUUCAACAUCAACCAGUGAAGUUGCCUGAAGCGACCGGAGGUCAUUUGCAUGAAUCCAGAGAAACUGGCCUCUGGGCCUGAGUGGCUCGCUUCAGGUUCCUGCUGGGCCUCAGCCUCCACAUCCGCUCUGAAGGGGAGUCCGGCAGAAAGCCACAUAUCCUCCGUCUGGCUGCAGUACGCAUCCAGAUACCGCAGCUGGCGCAUGCUCGUGUGGUUCCCACUUUGUUUAUUAAAUUAUCAUAGUUUACAAAAUCAUGCAAA